CAGGCAGAUGGGGAACAUUUUGUGGCUGGAGUUGCAGUGUGUCAGAAAUAGAAAGUCCAUCAGCUAAAGGUAAAGUAAAGUUAAACAUGAGAAGAGGAGAUAAAGGACCUUCAGUUUCCUAACUUUUAUCAGCUGACUUGAUGGCUUUCUCCUGACUGGACUCCCAUGCUUCGUGUUGUUAUGGUAACAUUAUGGAUGUUUUGCAUGCAAAGAAAUUGUGAUCGGAUUGCAGAGCAUAAGAAUUGUGUUUGGAUGAAAGUUUAGGGAUCAUGGAUACAGACUAGAAACGUCACGCAACAAGACCUGCUCGGCAUGUGUAAUAUUCAGAGAAGUAAAUCACCUACAUGGCUACACAAGAGUAAAU